rnacentral:rRNA from 1 species
GACGAACGCUGGCGGCGUGCUUAACACAUGCAAGUCGAACGGAAAGGCCCUGCUUUUGUGGGGUGCUCGAGUGGCGAACGGGUGAGUAACACGUGAGUAACCUGCCCUUGACUUUGGGAUAACUUCAGGAAACUGGGGCUAAUACCGGAUAGGAGCUCCUGCUGCAUGGUGGGGGUUGGAAAGUUUCGGCGGUUGGGGAUGGACUCGCGGCUUAUCAGCUUGUUGGUGGGGUAGUGGCUUACCAAGGCUUUGACGGGUAGCCGGCCUGAGGGGGUGACCGGCCACAUUGGGACUGAGAUACGGCCCAGACUCCUACGGGAGGCAGCAGUGGGGAAUAUUGCACAAUGGGCGGAAGCCUGAUGCAGCAACGCCGCGUGCGGGAUGACGGCCUUCGGGUUGUAAACCGCUUUCGCCUGUGACGAAGCGUGAGUGACGGUAAUGGGUAAAGAAGCACCGGCUAACUACGUGCCAGCAGCCGCGGUGAUACGUAGGGUGCGAGCGUUGUCCGGAUUUAUUGGGCGUAAAGGGCUCGUAGGUGGUUGAUCGCGUCGGAAGUGUAAUCUUGGGGCUUAACCCUGAGCGUGCUUUCGAUACGGGUUGACUUGAGGAAGUAGGGGAGUAUGGAAUUCCUGGUGGAGCGGUGGAAUGCGCAGAUAUCAGGAGGAACACCAGUGGCGAAGGCGGUUCUCUGGGCCUUUCCUGACGCUGAGGAGCGAAAGCGUGGGGAGCGAACAGGCUUAGAUACCCUGGUAGUCCACGCUGUAAACGGUGGGUACUAGGUGUGGGGUCCAUUCCACGGGUUCCGUGCCGUAGCUAACGCUUUAAGUACCCCGCCUGGGGAGUACGGCCGCAAGGCUAAAACUCAAAGGAAUUGACGGGGCCCCGCACAAGCGGCGGAGCAUGCGGAUUAAUUCGAUGCAACGCGUAGAACCUUACCUGGGUUUGACAUGGAUCGGGAGUGCUCAGAGAUGGGUGUGCCUCUUUUGGGGUCGGUUCACAGGUGGUGCAUGCCUGUCGUCAGCUCGUGUCGUGAGAUGUUGGGUUAAGUCCCGCAACGAGCGCAACCCUUGUUCACUGUUGCCAGCACGUUAUGGUGGGGACUCAGUGGAGACCGCCGGGGUCAACUCGGAGGAAGGUGGGGAUGACGUCAAGUCCUCAUGCCCCUUAUGUCCAGGGCUUCACGCAUGCUACAAUGGCUGGUACAGAGAGUGGCGAGCCUGUGAGGGUGAGCGAAUCUCGGAAAGCCGGUCUCAGUUCGGAUUGGGGUCUGCAACUCGACCUCAUGAAGUCGGAGUCGCUAGUAAUCGCAGAUCAGCAACGCUGCGGUGAAUACGUUCCCGGG